rfam:Strongylocentrotus purpuratus Contig108255_fixed, whole genome shotgun sequence.
CCAACAGUCCUUUUCAGGACUACCCACAUGGUGAAUUUAAAAUUAU